rnacentral:rRNA from 1 species
UAGUCCAUGCUGUAAACGAUGGGUACUAGGUGUGGGCUGUGAAGAACAGUUCGUGCCGUCGCAAACGCAAUAAGUACCCCGCCUGAGGAGUACGAUCGCAAGAUUAAAACUCAAAGGAAUUGACGGGGACCCGCACAAGCAGCGGAGCAUGUGGUUUAAUUCGAAGCAACGCGAAGAACCUUACCUAAACUUGACAUACCUUGAAUUACCUUGUAAAGAGGGAAGCUCGCAAGAGCAAGGAUAC